rnacentral:rRNA from 1 species
AUUGAACGCUGGCGGCAUGCCUUACACAUGCAAGUCGAACGGCAGCACGGGAGCAAUCCUGGUGGCGAGUGGCGAACGGGUGAGUAAAGUAUCGGAACGUGCCCAGUCGUGGGGGAUAACGUAGCGAAAGUUACGCUAAUACCGCAUACGAUCUAUAGAUGAAAGCGGGGGAUCGCAAGACCUCGCGCGAUUGGAGCGGCCGAUAUCAGAUUAGGUAGUUGGUGGGGUAAAGGCUCACCAAGCCGACGAUCUGUAGCUGGUCUGAGAGGACGACCAGCCACACUGGGACUGAGACACGGCCCAGACUCCUACGGGAGGCAGCAGUGGGGAAUUUUGGACAAUGGGCGAAAGCCUGAUCCAGCCAUGCCGCGUGCAGGAUGAAGGCCUUCGGGUUGUAAACUGCUUUUGUACGGAACGAAAGGGUUUGGCCUGAUAAGCUGAGCUCAUGACGGUACCGUAAGAAUAAGCACCGGCUAACUACGUGCCAGCCGCCGCCGUAA